rnacentral:misc_RNA from 1 species
AAGUCGUAACAAGGUAACCGUAGGUGAACCUGCGGUUGGAUCAUUAACAAAAAGAUAAAAGUCGGGCCUAAAAACCCCGGCUUUUAUAAACACCUGUGAACUGUAAUUGUAUCUGGUGGGUUAAAAGAGGUGGAAACACCUUGAUGAUUUUAAAUCAUUACCCACCGUCAAAUUUUUGAACUCGUAUAUCUUGAACUAGUUUUUAUUAAUUUAAAAAACAACAACUUUUGACAACGGAUCUCUAGGCUCUC